UCCUAUUAAAUCUAUAUUAAUCUCUGAUGGAGCACCAUUAUCAGCAUUUCAGUAUUUUGAAAAUGUUCAAGAAAUUAGGAAAUUAGAAUUCCUACAUUUAAAGCAUCUGAUCUGGAACAAGAAGACUUGCAUGUAAACUUUAUCAACACAUGAGAAAGGGGGAUGCUGCUUUGAAAAUUCAGAGGCACGUACGCAUACAUGCAUCUUGGAAAGCCUACAUUAAACUCUAUACAUCAGUGCUUACUUUGCAAACAACUUUGAGGAUAAUCGCUGCCCGUAAGGAGUUUAAUAUUAGGAAACGACUAAAGCUUCAAUCAUAAUUUUAGGUCUAGCAUAAAGCUAACUUACUGUUUUGGUUGGAUUUGAAUCUCCUAUUCCAUCAUUUAUUUUUCAUAUUCAUAACCAAAACUUUUUGGAUUAUUUAUCAAAUAUUUUGUUUAGGAAGAUGAUUACUAUUCUUUAUAAAAUUAGUUUGUAGUUUAUCACAAUAAAUGUUAAGAAACUUAUUCU